CACUAAUUCUAGUUACCUUGCAGUCAGUUAGAGGUAGAAUACAUUUAUAAUAUUGAUAAAGAUGAGCUUUUUUUUUUUUUUUUUUUUUUUUUUUUUUUUUUUUCUCCUUUUUAAGCCGAUUGCUGCAGGGAAAUGAAUGUUCUCUCCUAUUGAAAGAAAUUGCUCCAAUUUAAAGGCAUUAAAUGUUUAAUCAUUUGUCACUUGUCUCACUUGCGAAUACUGCAGAUGGUUUUGUUGUUUAUCUAGGCUGACUCUCUGAGAAAUGAGAAGUGGUAGAAAAUUCUCCUAAAGUAUUUCUGAAGACAAAGAAAAACUUGAGAAUUGUCUCGGAAGAUUUUUUCCACCUGAGCUGAACUGUUAAACCUGAUGUCUGACAGGUCAAGGAGGAUGACUAACUUGGUAAAGCUUCAACAAAAGCAGAAACCUCAGAAAAGCAUCCAUUAGAAGCCCAUCACUGAAAACACUCUGAAAUUCAGUAAGGGCCUCUGUCGGAACAGGAGCCAAAUGAAGACUGGGGAUCAGGUCAGUUUAUAUUAGUCACAGAAAA
rnacentral:lncRNA from 1 species